rnacentral:rRNA from 1 species
CGGCAGCACGGGAGCAAUCCUGGUGGCGAGUGGCGAACGGGUGAGUAAUAUAUCGGAACGUGCCCAGUCGUGGGGGAUAACGCAGCGGAAGCUGUGCUAAUACCGCAUACGAUCUACGGAUGAAAGCGGGGGAUCGCAAGACCUCGCGCGAUUGGAGCGGCCGAUAUCAGAUUAGCUAGUUGGUGGGGUAAAAGCCCACCAAGGCGACGAUCUGUAGCUGGUCUGAGAGGACGACCAGCCACACUGGAACUGAGACACGGUCCAGACUCCUACGGGAGGCAGCAGUGGGGAAUUUUGGACAAUGGGCGCAAGCCUGAUCCAGCAAUGCCGCGUGCAGGAUGAAGGCCUUCGGGUUGUAAACUGCUUUUGUACGGAACGAAACGGCCUUUUCUAAUAAAGAGGGCUAAUGACGGUACCGUAAGAAUAAGCACCGGCUAACUACGUGCCAGCAGCCGCGGUAAUACGUAGGGUGCAAGCGUUAAUCGGAAUUACUGGGCGUAAAGCGUGCGCAGGCGGUUAUAUAAGACAGAUGUGAAAUCCCCGGGCUCAACCUGGGACCUGCAUUUGUGACUGUAUAGCUAGAGUACGGUAGAGGGGGAUGGAAUUCCGCGUGUAGCAGUGAAAUGCGUAGAUAUGCGGAGGAACACCGAUGGCGAAGGCAAUCCCCUGGACCUGUACUGACGCUCAUGCACGAAAGCGUGGGGAGCAAACAGGAUUAGAUACCCUGGUAGUCCACGCCCUAAACGAUGUCAACUGGUUGUUGGGUCUUCACUGACUCAGUAACGAAGCUAACGCGUGAA